GAUGAACGCUGGCGGCGUGCCUAAUACAUGCAAGUCGAGCGAACAGACGAUGAGCUUUCUCUCCUGACGUUAGCGGCGGACGGGUGAGUAACACGUAGAUAACAUACUUCUAUGACUGGGAUAACAACGGGAAGCCGGUGCCACUACUAGCUCAUAUAUUCAACGGCAUGGUUCAAUAGUUCUACGCAGUUUUGCCGUCACAUUUAGAUGGUUUCGCGCCGGAUUAGCUAGUUGGUAAGGUAACGGCUUACCAAGGCGACGAUGCGUAGCCGAUCUGAGAGGGUGAUCGGCCACACUGGAACUGAGACACGGUCCAGACUCCUACGGGAGGCAGCAGUAGGGAAUCUUCCACAAUGGGCGAAAGCCUGACGGAGCAACGCCGCGUGAGUGAUGAAGGUCUUCGGAUCGUAAAACUCUGUUAUUAGGGAAGAAAAAAUGUGUAAGUAACUAUGCACGUCUUGACGGUACCUAAACAGAAAGCCACGGCUAACUACGUG
rnacentral:rRNA from 1 species